GAUGAACGCUGGCGGCGUGCCUAAUACAUGCAAGUCGGGCGAACGGACGCGAAGCUUGCUUUUCUGAUGUUAGCGGCGGACGGGUGAGUAACACGUGGAUAACCUACCUAUAAGACUGGGAUAACUUCGGGAAACCGGAGCUAAUACCGGAUAAUAUUUUGAACCGCAUGGUUCAAAAGUGAAAGACGGUCUUGCUGUCACUUAUAGAUGGAUCCGCGCUGCAUUAGCUAGUUGGUAAGGUAACGGCUUACCAAGGCAACGAUGCAUAGCCGACCUGAGAGGGUGAUCGGCCACACGGGAACUGGGACACGGUCCAGACUCCUACGGGAGGCAGCAGUAGGGAAUCUUCCGCAAUGGGCGAAAGCCUGACGGAGCAACGCCGCGUGAGUGAUGAAGGUCUUCGGAUCGUAAAACUCUGUUAUUAGGGAAGAACAUAUGUGUAAGUAACUGUGCACAUCUUGACGGUACCUAAUCAGAAAGCCACGGCUAACUACGUG
rnacentral:rRNA from 1 species